AUUUAAGCGAAAGAGAAACAGGAAGGGCCCUCUUUUUCCUUCGGUUCCUGCUCCAGCGGCACGAUGUGAUCCACCAGCUAGGAGGGACGCCAAUAAGAGUUUUAACGUUCCCAGUAGAUGUCACCUUUAAUGGCAUCUCUGAAAACCCUUAGUACUUGUCUCUACCAUUCUUGACUGUGAGAAGCUUGAUUGACAGACAAUGUCAAAGGGAUAGACAAUGUCAUAGACUGUGAUGAGAACCUGUCUGCACAGCUAUCCUGAAACCACAUACUGAGCAGCAAAUUGAACACCCCUCUAUUUCUAUUGGUGAUAGAAGUCCAGUCUCCCUAUUAUGGUCUCUAUUGGUCUGCUUUGGGGUUUCAUGACACUGGAGAAGAUAAAAGUCUGCGACCAUUGUCACUUGACAUGACACCAUCACAUCAUGAAGACCUAGUAAACUCAAUGGACUGUCCCUCCAAUCGCUAAGUUUUCUCAUCUGGAACAUAUAUCUGGGAGAGGAACAAACAAGAGGAGAAUCUGAUUGUGAUCAGCUUCAGAAUCCCUUUGGAGAAAAGCUGUUCCUGUCUGUCAAUGGACUCUUCUCGUGGGAAACACUAGAGCAGCUGCAGCUUAAACAAAAGAACAACAUUUGGUGCCCUGGACGUGGGAAGGCUCUGCCCUUGGUACCCCCCUCCACAUCCCGCUGGCGGGUACGUGUUGGGUCAAGGACAUCCUUAUCACGCGAAUAAACAAUCCACAUUCCAGAUCACCGGUUUGCUGGAUUCUGCAUACAACACCGGACCCAAUUCGGUAAGGCUACCCCUUUCAGUCAGCGUAAACGUCUCCCUGAACCCGAGGGACUGACCGUUGAUCGUC
rnacentral:lncRNA from 1 species